ACAAGCUUUCUUUGAGCCAGGACUUGAGAGUUUUGGGUGUGGGGAAGUCCUUCGCAGCAGGAGAACUGUCCAGAGACAGGCAAGGGUUCACGGGUGCCACCAUUUGGAAGGGGAGGAAGAUGAGUGCCAGCUGGAGAGAACUAGUGAUACCUGGGCAGCUCCUUUACCAGAGUUAACUGGAGAUGCAAAUCCUCCCACGACCUCAGUGAUUGCAUCACAUGGUGAGAGUGAGGAAGUACCACCCGAACCUAAGGAAGGAGCAGCAGCACCAGCGGCACCAGUAAAAGGCCAUGUUGGUAGGGGAGCUCCUGGCCCCAUGGACAGACAAAGAGAACCUCGGGGUGGCAGGCGGGAGCCCAGGCAUCCUGAGGACAGGCAGCGGCCAUUCUACUGCACCGCUUUCACCCUGUUGCAGGUCCAGGAGCAGGAGAGCAUCUUACAACAAAUUCCCUACUCAGGCAUGUUAGCAUGGUAAGCUUCGUGCUCAGGCGGUUCUCCCUUUCCAAGGGACCCCUGGCUAGACCCAGGCCUCAUUUUCUUUCCCAGAGCCUCUUCCCUCCCUUCCUGAGCCAAAGGACAACUAGGGAUCCCAAGGCCGUGGGGCCCACCUGUCCUCAGGCCCCAGGGUAGAGGCAAUGCCUCCUGGGCACCAAGGUAAGUAUUUUCGUGCAGCAUUAAAAGUGGGCAAACUUUGGCCUGUUGCUAGGGUUUUGUAAACAGUGUUUGAUUGGACCCAGUGUCGUGAUCAAGGUGAAGAGAGUAAGGCAUGGUGCGUAGUGCGAGUGAAGUGUCAGAUCCCGUCUUUAUCUAAAAUUUUGAUAAUUUGUUCAUAAUAUCAUAAUUAUCAUCAAUUUUGAUUUUUUAAAAUCUCGCAAAAUGUAUUAUGUAUCUGGAAUCCCGAGUUUCUGGUGCCCCUUAGAUUUAGUCUGGAGGGAAAACCACCCCUAAAGCGAGGCCUCAGUCUGGAUAUUACAGAAUAAUGUCCCGGGAAGAGGGGUUGUGUGAUAGGUAUUUAAAAGCAAGUGUGAUCUGAGUAUGGUGUAUUGAAUUUCAUCUGCAACUCCAAACACGGAGUAUUUGUGGUUUUCUCCCCUCAGAAAGGAGCUUGCAAGAUUCAUGCACGUGACUGAGGCCAGCAUGCAGGUCAGUAUAGCUGAAAAAACGUAUUUGGCAAGGCAGCCAUUCUAAAAUUUGCUUCAAGACUUGGACAUCUAUGUUGCGGACAUUCUCAAGUUGAGUGUUUUUGUUGCCUUUUCCAUGUUUGGAAAAUAAGUUUUGAACUUUGAAUCUUUGUGGGUGGGAAAUGGGAUAUGUAAACCCCAGCUUAUGGGACUUUCUCAUUACCAGAAGAAACACGAUUUCCUAAAGAAAGAAAACAGAGUUGAACUACUUCUUCUAGGCUUUGUAUACAAUUAGAUAUAUAUGAAUAAUAUAUCUAAGUAAUAUAAAAAUAUAUUCUUUUUUUUUUUUGAGGAAGAUUAGCCCUGAACUAACUACUGCCAAUCCUACUCUUUUUGCUGAGGAAGACUGGUCCUGAGCUAACAUCCAUGCCCAUCUUCCUCUACUUUAUAUGUGGGACGCCCACCACAGCAUGGCUUUUGCCAAGCGGUGCCAUGUCUGCACCCAGGAUCCAAGCCGGCGAACCACGGGCCGCUGAGAAGCGGAACGUGCGCACUUAACUGCUGCGCCACCAGGCUGGCCCCUAGAAAUAUAUUCGAUAUGAUAUAAAUAAAUAUGUGCACAUUUGCAUGUGUAUACAUACACAUGCAUAUAUAUAUAUGUAUUAGGGAGGACUUCUGUGUGGAGACUAUACGAUGGAAAUAAUAACACUAUCUAUGUCAUAGAACUGAUGAGGGGAACAAAUGACAUAAUGCACAUAAGUACCCAGCACAACGCCCAGCGACAGAGGAAGCCCUGAGAAAUGUUCAGUACUAUUACUCCAUGAUAUAGCCUAUCACCGCGGUACAACCUGUGGCAUAUGUGACAUAGUGGGAAGAGGCCUGGUUAGGAGUCACACAUUCUGGUUCCUUUAGAGAUACACGCUGAGAUAUUUACAGAUGAAACGAUGCGAGGCCUAGAUUUGCAUCGAAAUAAUCCAGGGGCAGAUGCAGGGGUGUUGGAGCAUUGGUUAGGGCAUUGAUGAAAUGCGACGGCUGUUAAUAACUGUUGAAACUGAGUAAUGAGGACGCGGGACUCAUGCUACGAUUCUCUCUGUAUAUGUUUGACAUUUCUCAUAAUAAAAAAAUCAUGUUUUUAAAUGAUUGGCGUUACAAACUCAAAUGUUGAGAAGGCCAGGCGUGAGAACAGCAAGGAGGGUGGGGACUGGCACGUGUCUUUCCCAAAGGGGACGGCUGGUAUUCAGCUCAGCUCAGCGUUGCUGGGCAAGAAUGUUGGGUCAGGAUGGCCAGAUUUUCCAGCUUUUCAAGACUGGCCCCAAAUCAAAAUGCUGGUAUGAAACCUUCCAUUCUUUAAAUGUUGGCAACUAACUGAGAUGUUUUACCACAAAGCAUGCUGGCCACCUAAAACAGGUCCGCAGAAUACACUCAGCUUGCAGCUGCCCAUUUGUGGCCCUUGCCUGAGAGCUAACUUUCAACAAGUUUCAUUCGCAGAAGCAGAAGAAUGUAAUUAAAAGCACUCUUAAGGCCAAGAAUCCUAGGUUGCCAUUGUUCCACUCUGUCGUUUCUCAUUAUAAGACCUGCUCCCAUACAUGUUUUGGUCUCUCCCCUCCAUCCCUGCCUGUGAGUUUCUCUACCUGGAUGCUUCGCUCGGCUUACCUAGUUCUGAUCUCAAAUUUUUUCCCACUGAUGCCCAAGACAUUAGGAGCGUCUGAGAGAGGAGGCCCCAAGCUAACGAACCAGGACGUGCUUGACCUGCUCCUACUUGCUGGCACAUUUUCUAACGGUUCUUCACGAUAAGCGGGCAUACUGAGUGAAUCUUAAGAAACAUUAUGCCUCAGGGACAAGGUGAUAGGCUGGGAAGGUCAGAGCACCCAGCAGAAGAAAAAAAGGAUUUUAUGAAACAUUCACAUCCAAAAAUAUAUAUGUUGUUUACCAGUAAUUCAAACGUAACUCAGCCUCCUGUAUUUUUAAUGCUAAAUAUCGCAACUGUAAUGUAAACCUAUUGUCGUUUGCAUAGGAAAUAUUUUCAAUACUUUGUACUCUUUUUCCCAUUCCAUGUAUAUUUUUCUUUUCAUUCAGGAGAAAUUAAAAAACAUGUACUUUGAUUUGAGCCAUUCCUAUAUGAUACACACAUGUGUGCAUCCAUGGAAAUGAGCCACUGGGGCAACCGGUUCCCUGCAGCCUUCCGGCUCCUCAGGAGGCUCUUGGAGUCUAAGCUGAUGAACAGGAGACUGUGUCCUUUCUCAGCCCCAUGUUUGCAAUGACGCAAGGGAAGGGCAUGGGCCACAGGACAUAUUUCACCAGGGAGUGACCCAACUGGCAUUUGAAAUACUGGUGGCACAAGCUUUCAGCAUCACAGCAACAUGCCUCCACCACAGUAUGAAAACCGACAGACGGAUGGUGUGGUUCCCUGACCAGGAAACAAACCCUGUCAG
ensembl:lncRNA